rnacentral:tRNA from 1 species
GUGGGUAUAGCUUAGUGGUAGAGCGUAUGCUUGUUGUGCACAGGUUUUGGGUUCAAUCCCCAGUGCUUCCC